AUUCUAGCGGAAACAAAUCAAAAAGAUUAAUAUAAUUUUCGGAAAAAAUUAAAAGAAAUUGCUGAAAAUAGAACCAUCAAUAAUCGGACAAUUAAUUAAAACAAAAAUAGUCAAUUCAUAAAUUUUUGAAAAAAAAAAAUAGAAAAACAAAUAACAUAAAUUUCAAAAAAAAAAUUAAUUCAAAAAAAUAAAUUAUUUCGGAACAAUAAAAAAAUAAUACUCCCUCCGUCCACGAAAGAACUUCCUAUCUUUCUUUUUUGGGACGUCCACGAAAGAACUUCCUACCUAUUUUUGGACUAUACCCCACCACUUAUAAUCCUCUUACUUUUUCACUUUUCACAACUCCCAAUAUUAAUUAUAACACUUUUUCACCACUCCCAAUACACUCAACUACCUUUUAUCCACUUUCAAUACACUCAACAAUAUUUUUUCUUAAAACUCGUGCCACUCCCUCCUAGGAAGUUCUUUCAUGGACGGAGGGAGUAUA
rnacentral:lncRNA from 1 species